rnacentral:rRNA from 1 species
AGGGAAUCUUCCACAAUGGGCGAAAGCCUGAUGGAGCAACGCCGCGUGAGUGAAGAAGGUUUUCGGAUCGUAAAACUCUGUUGUUAGGGAAGAACAAGUACCGUUCGAAUAGGGCGGCACCUUGACGGUACCUAACCAGAAAGCCACGGCUAACUACGUGCCAGCAGCCGCGGUAAUACGUAGGUGGCAAGCGUUGUCCGGAAUUAUUGGGCGUAAAGCGCGCGCAGGCGGUCCUUUAAGUCUGAUGUGAAAGCCCACGGCUCAACCGUGGAGGGUCAUUGGAAACUGGAGGACUUGAGUGCAGAAGAGGAAAGUGGAAUUCCAAGUGUAGCGGUGAAAUGCGUAGAGAUUUGGAGGAACACCAGUGGCGAAGGCGACUUUCUGGUCUGUAACUGACGCUGAGGCGCGAAAGCGUGGGGAGCAAAC